AUACGUAGGGGGCGAGCGUUGUCCGGAAUGAUUGGGCGUAAAGGGCGCGUAGGCGGCCCGGUAAGUCUGGAGUGAAAGUCCUGUUUUUGAGAUGGGAAUUGCUUUGGAUACUGUCGGGCUUGAGUGCAGGAGAGGGAAGUGGAAUUCCCAGUGUAGCGGUGAAAUGCGUAGAGAUUGGGAGGAACACCAGUGGCGAAGGCGACUUACUGGACUGUAACUGACGCUGAGGCGCGAAAGUGUGGGGAGCAAACAGGAUUAGAUACCCUGGUAGUCCACACUGUAAACGAUGAAUGCUAGGUGUAGGGGGUAUCGACCCCUUCUGUGCCGCAGUCAACACAAUAAGCAUUCCGCCUGGGGAGUACGGCCGCAAGGUUGAAACUCAAAGGAAUUGACGGGG
rnacentral:rRNA from 1 species